rnacentral:snoRNA from 1 species
GACACAUGAUGUUUGUUCUCAUGAUGGCCUUCCAAGUCCCAGUGGUGACAGGGCUUUGACGACAGUUGCCAAGUGGGCUGACUGAUGUCAGUGG